AUUUAAUUGUUCUCAUUGCAAAGUGGGUAAAAUGAGUAAUACCUAAUUGUAUUUCAGAUAAAAGUUAGGAUUUAGUGCUAGAAAACAGACAUGAGGAAGACACUCUCCGGGGUAAAAUACAGGAGUUACACCUUGUGGGCUGACACCACCAGAGGUAGAGGAGAGGGCGCACUGAAUGAGAGGAAACUGCGCACAUGACUUCUCAAACCCUACACUUAGAAAUGUCAGCGUGAGAGCAACUUGGUAAGUAUAGACCCUGAGCUACUCUGCAGAAAUCAGCUCUAAUGUCAAAAUAACAUUAAGUCCAAGAGAAAGUACACAGCUUUAGAGUUAGAACCCAGAGCUGACCCCAGCUUCACCACAUGCAUGUUUAGUCAUGUGACUUGAACGUUAUCCAGAUUCACCGGGACUCCUUUUCAUUUCCAAAUUGAGACUAUUAAUAUUGAGAUAAGGGUUACUAUAGAAACUAACAUGAUUCUCAAAGUUAUUCUAUCAAAUUCAUGGAUUUGAAAGUUUCACCAGAAAAGCACUUUAAAGUUUACAGUUAGGGGAUCUUAGACCUCAACUCUCAAUUUUACAAAUCUGUAAUUAGAUAACUCAAAAACUGGAGGAAUUUUCCUGAGGGAAAAUAGAAAAGAGAGUCAGAGUCAGGUUUAGGAACUGACUAUGCAGGUCUCCUAGCUCCUUCCCUGGAUAUUGCUUAUCUUACUUUACAAACUAGUUUAGUGUGCUAGCCCUUAAACAGUGCCAUAUAUGUAUAAGUAAACUGGUACGUGACCGCUGCAGGAUUGGUUAGGGAGGGGGGUUUAGUGUAGGUAUGAGGGAGAGAGCAGCCAGAGGCUUCUAGAAGAGUCUAGAGCAGAAAGUAGUAGACUGAGUAUGGCCAGCAGACUGGAACUGGGCAAGACUCUCAGGGGCCAGCAUGCACUUUGGUAUGCUAAUAGGCACCACAGAGCGCCCUUUGUCCCUUCUGCCAGUGACAAGGUUACUUACUGCCUCUUUUUUUUUUUCCCCCUUUUUAAUGCCUUGUCCUGGAACUCACUCUGUUAGACCAGACUAGCCUCCAAUUCAGAGAUCUGCCUGCCUCUGCCUCCCAAGUGCUGGGACUAAAGGCGUGUGCCACCACUACCUGGCAGUAAUUGCCUCUUUUGAUAGAGGGGAACCAGCUUUAUAAGUUCCUCAGAAAUGCUGGGGGGUUUUGUCUUAACUUCCAUAAUUUGGGGGAGAUGGAGUUUCCUUUGGCUCUGACAGCACAUAGCCAAGGUUUGACCCAGAGCGUUUGGAAGAGCUCCUCCUCCUCCCUCCCUUUCCUUUCCUGUGUUGCUGGUUAACAAAUCCUCUACAUAGCCUAUGGGCUUAGGUACCCCCACGUUAAAUCACUUCUCAGAGUAACGACUUUGUGUCUCAGGCUGCUUGCGAUCUUUGCCUUCUUCAUCAUGGUUAUGUAAGUUUGUCAAACGUUCUUUCUCUUUCCCUGUGAGUUGCCUGAGGCUCUGGUCUCUUAGAAGCAGCACAAGCUAAGCAGAGCUGCAGGGUAGAGUGGAGCAGCAUCUUUAUUGGUCCUUGUCCUGUUUUAUCCUUUGCAUCCCCACUUUAUCUCUUAGGGCCCACACUCUCCUGUGGUUAUUUAUCGCACCACUUUAGGGACUAGAAGCACUUCCAGGGACACAGUUAUUGUCCUGAUUCUUGAAUUGCCACACAGUUAAGUCAACCUCUUGGUCCCCUUGUACCUUCUCUUAAUCCUCUCAUAUAUGCACACUUGGUAGCCACCUAACUGAAAAAAAAAAAUCUAAUCAUUUGUAGUUCAAAUUUUUCCAGUUAUUCUUCAUUGCACUUAAGCUUAAACCCGCAGGAUCUCACCAGGCCUCCAACUUGUUCCUGACAAGUUCUCCUACCCUGCCAAACACAGCAGCACUUUAAUCUUAGUACAGGUCACAGUAUUUCCCUCACAGGACUUUGGCAUAUGUGCAAAAUGUUGUAUUCUAGCUUCUUAACUCUUAUCUUCAUUGCGAUAUGUAUUGCCUGAGAUGAUCUCACUAAUGGCUAACAGUUCCUGAACACAGUGAGUGUUGCUUAAAGGAGAGGGGGAAUGCUCUAACAUACUUGGCAAUACCUAAAAACAUUCUUGGUUGUCAAAACUACAGUGUUACUGAUGGGCGGAGACCAGAAAUGCUGCUAACUUACUCUGCUAUGCACAGGGCAUCCAUUUACGGCAGAAUCAGAUCAAUAAUGUCCAUACCACCCAGGUUGAGAUAUCUAGGCAUAAAAGGGAAUGUCACAUGGUGGCCAGCUCUUUUUCCUUCCUCUGUCUUGUUUCCUAAAACACUGCUAUCUUAGAUUAUGACAUUGGGCGCAUUCAGAAGGGAGGAACAAGAUAAAAGGAAGCUGUGUUGCUAACAGUGCCAUACCUGUCCUGAAGUUCUGCUCAGUACAUGAUGAAAUAAAUGAAUAACAGUAGAUAUCUUUGCCUUUCCUAACAUCCUUAACAUCAGCAGUAUAUGUCUAUAUUUGUAGGGGGGUGUGCACACAUAUAUAAUACACAAAGCCAAUUAGUGUGGGGGUACACGUAUAUAAUACACAAAGCCACCAGCUUUUGUUUGUAUCUUACCUUUUAUUUGAGGAUCUCAUUUAAAAAUUAUAGCCCUCCCCCAAGACUCUGACUUUGAUUGUUUUAUAUUUUACUUUAUUAUUGGUCAUUAGCAUUAUAUAAUGUAUCCAGCCUACUUUUCUGUGCUUCACACCAAAGGAGUGCGCAAGAGAAAUAAAACAUGGUCUGUCUCUUGUGUUUAGUGUUGUGUGCACCACAAGGACAGCAACACUACAAGUACCAGAUGAAAGGUAUGAUGUGUAAGUCUAAUAAACUGGGAAAAAGUUGUUGCCUGGGUUUGGUGAUCAGCAUUCUUCUUAGAUCUGAACAAAGGAUGUGUUUGAAGCUUAGGCUCUGCUCCCCACCCCCACCCCCACCCCCAAUGUCUUCGUGGUUUAGGCAGAUUGCUCCAAGAAUCUAACACUCCUUCAGAAAUCUUUGUUCUCCCAGAAGCACCGCCCAGCAAAUAAUUUGUCUCUUGCAAGGGCUGCCAGCUUCCGGGAGCACAGUGAUGCCUGGAGCACCACUUGUUAGCUGAGGGCUUCCUGGAGUGAUCUUCCACAGAAGCCCACUGAAUGAAAUAUGAGCAACUUGUGUCAAGUUAAUUGUUUUCCUCUUAAAACAAAACCAGUAUAUAGAAAAUACAGACAUUUCAGGGAAAUGUUAUCAGUGGUUAAUUCACAUAUGUAAAUAUAUAAAUACUUUAAAAA
rnacentral:lncRNA from 1 species